rnacentral:pre_miRNA from 1 species
GAGACCCUGGCUGUGCUAGUCAGCCAUGGGCUGCUCAUUGACUGUGAUGCGGGUCCCCAUGUGAUUGACUAGUGUGGGCCAGUGUCUC